GAUGAAGAACGCAGCGAAAUGCGAUAAGUAAUGUGAAUUGCAGAAUUCAGUGAAUCAUCGAAUCUUUGAACGCACAUUGCGCCCGCCAGUAUUCUGGCGGGCAUGCCUGUUCGAGCAUCAUUUCAACCAUCAAGCCCCCGGCUUGUGUUGGGGACCUGCGGCUGCCGCAGGCCCUGAAAAGCAGUGGCGGGCUCGCUGUCACACCGAGCGUAGUAGCAUACAUCUCGCUCUGGGCGUGCUGCGGGUUCCGGCCGUUAAACCACCUUCAUAACCCAAGGUUGACCUCGGAUCAGGUAGGAAGACCCGCUGAACUUAAGCAUAUCAAUAAGCGGAGGA
rnacentral:misc_RNA from 1 species